UCUGUGUGUGUCAGUGCAGAGACAUCAAGAUGGCUUCUCAGGGGGUUCUGCUGCCUCUCAUACUGCUUUAUAUUCAGGGAUCCUGGGCACAGAUCACACUGACACAGACUCCGAAUGAGAUCACUGCAACUCCAGGACAGACAGUCACCAUCUCGGCUAAAUCCAGUAGUGGUAUCAGCACCUGCUUUAACUGGUACCAACAGAAAUCAGGACAACGUCCAACACUGAUUAUCUAUGCUGCAACCACUCUGCAGUCUGGAGUCCCAGCCAGGUUCAGUGGAUCUGGAUCAGGAACAGAUUUCACUCUUACAAUCAGAGACAUAAAGGAGGAAGAUUUUGCAGUUUAUUACUGUCAGCAAUGUAGCAGAUGGCCUUACACACAGUGAUACAGAGCCGUACAA